GAAGAUUGCUACAUAUCAAGACAGUGUCAAGCUUUACAAGGAAAAAUUUGAAAAAGCAAAAUUAGCUCUGACUAAGGAUGAGGCUGAACUUCCAAAAUAAGAAAGCAAACUUAAAAUAUUGUGCAACAGCUAAAAGGGAGUGUAAGUGGAGGAGGGAGUGUUCUUCAUACUUAAAAUUCUUCAUUUAGUUGGAGAUGAUCUCUUGAUGUCUAAUGCAAAACGCAUUGAGAAAGCAGUACUAGGGUAUGUGUGUAAUGCUCUUCUUCUUAAGGGAUUAGUGAGGGAAUUCCAGUGCAGCUUGCUCAUGAUGGCUUGAAAGUCCUGGCAAACUUAUAAGGUUGUGUUUGCUGAAGAAGAUAGAAUGGGAGUGGGUAGAAAAUGUGGUGAAAUCUUUAGAUUGGUUAAUCGAAAGUCACUUUGGAAUACUUCCAACCUUUAAAAGCAUACAUAUGCGAGUGAGGGAUGCAUUUGUGCAGAGGAAAUCGAGGACAAGAUUAGGUGUUUAAACUUUUGUUUUUUUUUUUCAAAUGAAAUUUGGCAAAGCCAUAUAAAAUAUGUACUUUAGUUUGGAGAUUCUUGGAUUGUUCAAAACCAGUGGAGUUUCUUUGGCAUCUCUUUGCUUGCACUAACAAUGUUGUUAAUUGUGAUGUUUGUCUGUUUUUGGUAUUAUAUCUUCACCUUCACCUU